rnacentral:rRNA from 1 species
UACGUAGGGUGCGAGCGUUAAUCGGAAUUACUGGGCGUAAAGCGUGCGCAGGCGGUUUUGUAAGCCAGAUGUGAAAUCCCCGGGCUUAACCUGGGAAUGGCAUUUGGGACUGCAAGGCUUGAGUGCGGCAGAGGAGACUGGAAUUCCUGGUGUAGCAGUGAAAUGCGUAGAUAUCAGGAGGAAUACCGAUGGCGAAGGCGGGUUGCUGGGCCGACACUGACGCUGAGGCGCGAAAGCUAGGGGAGCGAACGGG